rnacentral:rRNA from 1 species
UACGUAGGUGGCAAGCGUUGUCCGGAUUUACUGGGCGUAAAGGAUGCGUAGGCGGACAUUUAAGUCAGAUGUGAAAUACCCGAGCUUAACUUGGGUGCUGCAUUUGAAACUGGGUGUCUAGAGUGCAGGAGAGGUAAGUGGAAUUCCUAGUGUAGCGGUGAAAUGCGUAGAGAUUAGGAAGAACACCAGUGGCGAAGGCGCUCUGGGA